UACGUAGGAGGCAAGCGUUGUCCGGAAUUACUGGGCGUAAAGGGUGUGUAGGCGGGACGGUAAGUCGGGCGUGAAAUCCCACGGCUCAACCGUGGAACUGCGUUCGAUACUGCCGACCUUGAGUACGGGAUAGGAGAGUGGAACUCACGGUGUAGCGGUAAAAUGCGUAGAUAUCGUGAGGAACACCGGUGGCGAAGGCGGCUCUCUGGCCCGAUACUGACGCUGAGACACGAAAGCCAGGGUAGCGAACGGGAUUAGAUACCCCCGUA
rnacentral:rRNA from 1 species